ACGCAGCAGGCGAGAAACUUUACAAUGUGCGAAAGCACGAUAAGGGAACUCUGAGUGCCUCCUAAGGAGGCUGUUCAGGUGUCUAAAAGCACCUGAAGGAAGGGCUGGGUAAGACCGGUGCCAGCCGCCGCGGUAACACCGGCAGCCCAAGUGGUAGCCACGUUUAUUGGGUCUAAAGCGUCCGUAGCCGGCUGGGUAAGUUCCUUGGGAAAUUUGGCUGCUUAACAGUCAAGCUUUCAGGGAAUACUGCCCGGCUUGGGACCGGGAGAGGUCAGAGGUACUCCAGGGGUAGGGGUGAAAUCCAUUAAUCCUUGGGGGACCACCGGUAGCGAAGGCGUCUGACCAGACCGGGUCCGACGGUGAGGGACGAAGGCUAGGGGCGCGAACCGGAUUAGAUACCCGCGUAGU
rnacentral:rRNA from 1 species